GCUUGAAUCAGCCCGGUGAAGAUAGUCGCUCUAUAAAUUAAUGGGGGAUAGGGGGAGAGAGGGUGUCACUGUUUCCAUUAUAAAAGACACAUCUGUAGCCACAUUGUAUCAGCCAUUAAUGCAGGUAUUUCCCUAUUUUAUACCCAGCUGUGACGCGUGGCUGGCUAAGCGUGGUUGGCAUUGUAGUCGUAACGUGCCAGUAGUUGCCAUUUUUGUGUUGUUGUUAUUAAAGGCACAUCCCACAUUAAGCAGUGCAGCCCAUACACUGUAUGGGAGCUCACACAUUGCCCUUUUAAGAAUUCUGACAUUCUCACACAAACAAGCUGUGUGAGGGAGGGGGCUCCUGCACUCCUCAGGGCUUCCUUGCAGUGCCCAUGGGUGUCCAGAACCCCC